rnacentral:tmRNA from 1 species
GGGGGUGAUCGGUUUCGACUUGGGACGAUAGUCCCAGGAGAAGCGGGCCGAGAAUCCAGGGUUAUCUCGUUAACGUUCCUUGGAAACCAAUAAGUGCCAACUCUAAGCGCACUGACUUCGCUCUCGCUGCUUAAGCAGUGACCGAAGGGUCAGACCGGGAGCGCCUCCGUCCCGGACCCUGGCCUCAUCAAGGAGGCUUACCUGUCAGGAAUGGCCGCAGGGCCUGAUAGGGAAAGCAACAGCGGCUGAGCCUGUCUCACACCUUGCCAGCGUGAGUGUGGGGGCUAAGAAAAUCUGCUAGCUGGCUGCGCCCGGAGAAGUCCUGGUUCGUCGCUCGAGGACGCGGGUUCGAUUCCCGCCACCUCCACUC